rnacentral:lncRNA from 1 species
UUGAAUUUAGUCUAUUCCUUUUCAACGAAUGAGUGAAUAAUUCCGGCGGCUACUUUGUUAUUGUUUUUUAGCAAUAAUUGUUACUUUAUAUUAUAAACAAAUAAAAAACGUAAAUCUUCCUAUAAAAAAACUAAUAAUAAAAGAAAAAGGAGAAAAAAAAUUGUGUUUUUUUGAAUUGGUGUACCACGCGAGUACCACAGGUGUACCACGCGUGUACCCGUUGCAAAAAACAAAAAAAACAAUUAGGUACGGCGUCGGUGCGUACCGGGGGAGUACCAUACGCGUACCGGUACCCGGUACGUAUCCGGUACCGGUACUCGGUCUAAAAUGGAGUACCCAUGCAACAUAG